UACAGAGGUCUCAAGCGUUGUUCGGAAUUACUGGGCGUAAAGGGUGCGCAGGCCGCGCGGGCAGUCAAAUGUGUAAUCCAGGGGCUCAACCCCUGAACUGCGCUUGAUACUUCCGCGCUCGAGCUUUGGAGAGGAGUCUGGAAUUCUCGGUGUAGCAGUGAAAUGCGUGGAUAUCGAGAAGAACACUUAGGGCGUAGGCAGGACUCUGGACAAAUGCUGACGCUCAUGCACGAAGGCUAGGGUAGCGAACGGG
rnacentral:rRNA from 1 species